AGCGAACGCUGGCGGCAGGCCUAACACAUGCAAGUCGAACGAAGUCUUCGGACUUAGUGGCGGACGGGUGAGUAACACGUGGGAACGUGCCUUUAGGUUCGGAAUAACUCAGGGAAACUUGUGCUAAUCCCGCAUGUGCCCUUCGGGGGAAAGAUUUAUCGCCUUUAGAGCUGCGCGCGUCUGAUUAGCUGGUUGGUGCGGUAAUGGCUCACCAAGGCUACGAUCAGUAGCUGGUCUGAGAGGAUGACCAGCCACAUUGGGACUGAGACACGGCCCAAACUCCGACGGGAGGCAGCAGGGGGGAACUGUGCGAAAGGGGCGAAAGCCUGAAGCAGCCAGGCCGCGUGGAUGAUGAAGGUCUUAGGAUUGGAAAAUCCUUUCACCGGUGAAGAUAAUGACUGUAGCCGGAGAAGAAGCCCCGGCUAACUUCGUGCCAGCCGCCGUAGUAACAC
rnacentral:rRNA from 1 species